AGUGAAACAGGUGGUAAACCUUUGGGCUGCCCAGAAACAUUUUAUCUGUUUUCACUUACCUAGGAAGGGGAAAGAUUAGCGGGUCAUCCAAAAUCUGUAUGUAAGCUAUCUUCAUUUUCUUCCCCAACCUUCUCCUCCUGGGAAACACAAAUGCUAUCUCAUCUGACAAAAGGUUUUAGAGGAUAAAGCUGAAAAGAUUGGAUUGGGAUCUUUUUGUGGCUUGGGGCGGAGCCUUUUGCUAAAAUCUCAAGAAUGCUGCUUUGAGUUUAGCUAGGGUGGCUCUCAGAACUGGGGUGCCUGGCAUUCUCAGCAUUUCUCAGGGGCCUCCCACCUCUGACAACUGCAGUGUUAGCUAAUACAUACCUUGAGCAUAGAACUGAAUGCUGUAAUUCAGAGCCAUUUUUUUUUUCAACUUGAACAUUGUACAAUUUUACUGCAAUUUCCUUUGAACUUUCUUGCCACUGUUUGGAAUCUUAAAAAUUCAUUAGCCUUCUCCUUUCUGACAUAAAGCUACUCUUCAUCAGAGAUGAGUUCCUAUGUAUGUCCUUUGUUCCUUCAAUAGCUAAUUAAUGUGCUUGAGGAUACUUCAGUGGAAAAAAAGG
rnacentral:lncRNA from 1 species